UCGGCGGAGCCUAGAAAUAACGGCUGCUCUGCGGGGUUUCGGGUCCGCAAGGCCAACUCUUUUUCACGUUUUCCUUUUGGAUUCUUACUCUUGGGACAGCCUCGUGACGCCGGCAGAGUAAUUGUUUUUCUCCCAUAUUUACGCCCGGAGAAAUAGGAAGAGUCUUGCCUCAGCUGCCAUAGAAUUAGGAAAGGCCCAGAAUCUGUCAGUCCCGAGAAGCUUGACACCAUUUAUAAUGCUAAUGAUGGCGCUCUCUUUUGGGGAGGAGUUGCCUCCCUUUUGCAGUCACCUUAAAACACUUAGGUGUAAGUAAAGCCUAGAUAUCUAACAACAUGACGGUAAGAAACGGGAGGUCUUCCAACAAGUGUGUUACCUUGACAUAAGCAAAACUGGUGGCCUAAAUGGAUGAAUUUGAUAAAAUAUACUGAAAACCAGGAUCCACACAUGUUCACCUGCGUGCCUAGUACCCAGCGUUGUGCCUGGCCAGCAGUGGGCAGUCAAUAGAUGUUCAAUUGAAACUACAUUUCUGCCUUUCCUAUUUCCUCCCAUCAUCACUCAAGGUCUUAGAGUCCAAGUCCUUUGUGGAGCCCUCCACAUCAAGUGAGAGAAUCCAGACCCUGGCGGCUGAGAGUUCACGGUGACUGGAAUCUAAUGGAAUCUUGCCUCUGUCCAGUAGGAAUGAUUUUACCAGGCCUUAGAGAAGAUAAUUCCAUUGAUUGGGCUUGUACGUCACUUUUUAUGAGUCAGAGCCUGACAAACAAAAGCACAAACCACAAUCUUACCAGUAAUCAGAGAAAUACAAUGAAACGCCAGUAGGCCAAAACCACCCAAUAGGCAAAAAAAAAAAAAAAAAAAAGAAAGGAAAGAAAGAAAGAAAAAAAAGAAAAGAAAAGAAAAAGACAGUAUUUUGUGCUGGCAAGAGGGUGAGAAAAUGAGCCCUCAGACAUUGCUGUAAACAUGAAUUGCUGUAUCUUUUGGGAAUGCAACCUGCUAUCUAUUAAAAAAAAAAUACAGAGAUUACAUCCAGCAAUGUUAGUUUUGUUCGUUCAUCCUGUGGAAAUCAAGGUUCCAGUCUGUAAAGUCACGUGUUCAAGAAAGUUUACCACAGUGUUAUUUGUAAUUGCAAAAGCCUAAAAACAAUUUAAAUUUCUGUCAGGAAGUAUUGAAUAAAUUAUGGUUUGUCUGUACUA